rnacentral:tRNA from 1 species
UCCCUAAUGGCUCACAUGGUAGAGAAUCUGCCUACAAUGUAGGAGACCCAGGCUCGAUCCCUGGGUUGGGAA